rnacentral:rRNA from 1 species
UACGUAGGGUGCGAGCGUUAAUCGGAAUUACUGGGCGUAAAGCGUGCGCAGGCGGUUUUGUAAGACAGGCGUGAAAUCCCCGAGCUUAACUUGGGAAUGGCGCUUGUGACUGCAAGGCUAGAGUAUGUCAGAGGGGGGUAGAAUUCCACGUGUAGCAGUGAAAUGCGUAGAGAUGUGGAGGAACACCGGUGGCGAAGGCGGCAUCCUGGACCAACACUGACGCUGAGGAGCGAAAGCCAGGGGAGCAAACGGG